UUAACUCUGGGAUAAGCCUGGGAAACUGGGUCUAAUACCGGAUAUGACUCCUCAUCGCAUGGUGGGGGGUGGAAAGCUUUAUUGUGGUUUUGGAUGGACUCGCGGCCUAUCAGCUUGUUGGUGAGGUAAUGGCUCACCAAGGCGACGACGGGUAGCCGGCCUGAGAGGGUGACCGGCCACACUGGGACUGAGACACGGCCCAGACUCCUACGGGAGGCAGCAGUGGGGAAUAUUGCACAAUGGGCGAAAGCCUGAUGCAGCGACGCCGCGUGAGGGAUGACGGCCUUCGGGUUGUAAACCUCUUUCAGUAGGGAAGAAGCGAAAGUGACGGUACCUGCAGAAGAAGCGCCGGCUAACUACGUGCCAGCAGCCGCGGUAAUACGUAGGGCGCAAGCGUUAUCCGGAAUUAUUGGGCGUAAAGAGCUCGUAGGCGGUUUGUCGCGUCUGCCGUGAAAGUCCGGGGCUCAACUCCGGAUCUGCGGUGGGUACGGGCAGACUAGAGUGAUGUAGGGGAGACUGGAAUUC
rnacentral:rRNA from 1 species